rnacentral:rRNA from 1 species
UUGAAACACUGGUUCCAUAUGAUCUCUGAAGAUAAGCAAUGUCAAGCCUGGUCAGUACCUAGAUGGGUGACUGCUUGGGAAUACCAGGUGCCAUA